CUGUGAGGCUCUGUGUAAGACUCUGUUUUCUUCACUUUUGCAGCACUAGCUAAGGAUGGAACUGAAACCUAAUGAGGAAUCUUGUGCUGGCAGUGUUUCUUACCCAAAUGUGUCGGCUCGUGCAUUUCUGGGCAUCUGUGCUCAAUAUGAAGCACCUGCUCAUGUAAGAGUCAGCUUUGACCUGGCUGGGUGCUCACCUGCAUUAUUCCAGAUGUGACCAUGGAAAUUCCACAGGGAAAGCAACCCUAGGGAAGAAGGUCUUGCUGGCUUCAUGUCUAAAAACAAAAUAAAAAUCAAGUAAGAUUCCUCGAGUUUUUCUUU
rnacentral:lncRNA from 1 species